rnacentral:sRNA from 17 species
UUUUUAUUAUUCUGUGUCAUGAUGCCUCCGUUAUUAGCCUUUUAUCGUCUUGUUUAUAUUUUUUGGGCCCGCCGGGGGGCGGGCUUUUUUU